CCAAUGUGAUCAGGCGCAGACCAGUAACACGGCAGAAGGAAAGGAGUUCUACAGUCCCGAUGUGGGAGAUCCAAGGACAAUCUUGACCGAAGGGUAGUCCUCCCAAGUUACCGAGAAAGUAAGUCCAGCAGGACCAUAUGCCCAGAAUGGAAA